UACGGAGGAUCCGAGCGUUAUCCGGAUUUAUUGGGUUUAAAGGGUGCGUAGGCGGCCAUUUAAGUCAGCGGUGAAAUUUUGCAGCUUAACUGUAACAGUGCCGUUGAUACUGGGGAGCUAGGAUUUGGUUGCUGUGGGCGGAAUGCGUCGUGUAGCGGUGAAAUGCUUAGAUAUGACGCAGAACUCCGAUUGCGAAGGCAGCUUACUGGGAUGCAACUGACGCUGAGGCACGAAAGCGUGGGUAUCAAACAGGAUUAGA
rnacentral:rRNA from 1 species